rnacentral:rRNA from 1 species
AUUGAACGCUGGCGGCAUGCUUUACACAUGCAAGUCGAACGGUAACAGGGUGCUUGCACCGCUGACGAGUGGCGAACGGGUGAGUAAUGCGUCGGAACGUGCCGAGUAAUGGGGGAUAACGCAUCGAAAGGUGGGCUAAUACCGCAUACGCUCUGAGGAGGAAAGCUGGGGACCGAAAGACCUGGCGUUAGUCGGGCGGCCGGUGUCAGGUGAGCUAGUUGGUGAGGUAAAGGCUCACCAAGGCGACGAUCUGUAGCGGGUCUGAGAGGAUGAUCCGCCACACUGGAACUGAGACACGGUCCAGACUCCUACGGGAGGCAGCAGUGGGGAAUUUUGGACAAUGGGGGCAACCCUGAUCCAGCCAUGCCGCGUGAGUGAAGAAGGCCUUCGGGUUGUAAAGCUCUUUCGGCCGGGAAGAAAUCGCACGGGCUAAUACCCUGUGUGGAUGACGGUACCGGAAUAAGAAGCACCGGCUAACUACGUGCCAGCAGCCGCAGUAACAC